AAACUGCUAGCUGGCACUUCUUGAGCACAUACUAUGUGCCGUGUACUUGAUCCACACAGCAGCCUCUCAUGGUGUUACUGUCACUAUUUCCAUUCUGCGGAUGACUGAGAGUCUGUGGUCACUAAGCACAUAUUUCUAUCUGCCUAAAUUCUACUCUACCUCCGUUUGCCUCCUGGCUCAUUCCCUACUGACAAGAUCCAACUUGAGUCUUCCUUCCUCAGCAACUUGGUACCCCUCUGCCCCCACAAUGUCAUCAUGUGUGACCAGUGCCUGUCUGUUUCCUUUGCCCCUGGUCCACUCUCUCAGCACAGAGUAGCUGCUCAGGAAGUGUCUCUUUGUUUGGUGUUACAGAUCCAGGGGGCACACCUGCAGGAGGUACUGAUGAACCCCCAAAGCUGACCAAGGAGGAGCCUGUUCCAGAAUUGCUAGAAGCCGAGGUGAGAGAGGCCAGAGUCCGGACUCUGGCCUUGUGGGGACUGGAGGCUUUGGGGAAGCAGGGAGACUUCAUUCUAGGCUCCAGGAGGGAGACGUGGACCUAGAGCCCACAGAAGGCUUAGCUGGAGGUUGGAUUCUUGGGUGAAGGAGAGGAUUGCAGACACCACCCUGAGGGCUGAUCAUGGCUGAUAGAAGAGCACUAGAAGCCUGAAAUGAUCUUGGUGCUCCCCUAAGGACUU
rnacentral:lncRNA from 1 species